GGAGCGACGCUGUAGUGACCGGAAGCGCUGAGCGGUUUUUUUGUUACAAUGUAUCAGUUUGAGACGCGGCGAUUGUUGAAGCCCGUCGACGACCUCCUGCGUUGCGGCAUCUGCUUCGAGUACUUCGACAUUGCCAUGAUCAUCCCUCAGUGUUCGCAUAACUAUUGUUCGCUUUGCGUACGGAAAUUCCUGUCUUAUAAAACUCAGUGUCCAAUCUGCUGUGCGACAGUCACGGAGCCUGAGCUGAGGAAUAACAGACUCUUGGACGAGUUGGUGAAGUGCUUUCGUUCUGUGAGGGAGUUGCUGUUGGAGUGUGAUUUGGAACCGUCGCCGUCACCAACCCAGACGAUGCCCAAAUCCGCUUCGGAAAAGCCACCCGGAGGCCCCAGGGGCCAUGCUAACAUGGCACCGUCCAUCACAGCCAUGGAGAGAUUCCUGACCAGGAGCCCUUCCUCGAAACUUGCGAAGGCUUCGCUAGCCCCGUCCAUCAAGCAGCUGAAAGGCCCCCAACAGGGGAAACUUAGAGCAAUCGCUGCACGAACGGCAAGCGUUUCAUCUGAUAACACGGCCCUCCCGAGCGAGAGCAUCGCCCUCUGCACAGAGGCACCUUCUACGUCCAGUUUAGCAGCGAAAGUGCAGUGUCCAAUCUGCAGUGUUGACAUUUCUGAAGCUAACAUCAACAGGCACCUAGACAACUGUUUAGCACGAGAAGACAAGAUAGAGAGCUUGCGAAGUACUACCAUGAAACGGAAAUUGAUGCCGAAAGUCGUCUACAACUUGCUUUCGGAUCGGGAUCUGAAGAAGAGGUUGAAGGAGUGUGGACUCUCCUCUCAGGGGACCAAAGCCCAGCUGAUUAAAAGGCACCAAGCGUUUGUGCAAAUGUACAAUGCCCAAUGUGACUCUCUCAACCCCCAGUCAGCGGCCGAGAUUGUGAAGAAAAUCGAAAGCAAUGAAAAGAGCCAAGCUCAGCUCGAAAAACAGGCCAGCCAAAAUGUGCUGAAAUUUUCGAAGAACCAGUCAGAAAAAGAAAUCGAUGAGAUACAUACAAAUUAUCGCAAGAAGCACCAGAGAGAGUUUCAGCAGCUGAUCGACAAACUGAAGAACAGAGGGAACGAGAGGAAAGUGAAGUGUGAAGAAAAAGAAAGCAAGAUCGAAGGAUAUUUUUAACCUUCGCAGGAAAAAGUGAUGUGGAGAGCGAGGUGCUAGACUGUACUGUAGAACAGACACCUCAGUGCGAGACAGACGUGUCGGAUGAAUUAGUUAGCAGCAGCUCACUGCCGAGGCAGGAGACUCCAGAGUUCCAACCCGCUGCCUUUCCCACGAUUCUCAAUUCACCCUCGACAACAGCCAGUUUGUGCAGCUCCAACUCUGACAUCUGCCAAGAUCUCUCAGGUUCUCAGGAGUCCAUUCAAUCACCGCACAAGGAGCCGUCGGUCUUGAAUACGCGAAAGAGACAAAGGCAGAAAUCGCUGAAGACAGUUGAUUCUCAGAGAAAGCGAGCAAAAAAUUGAGUCCAGGAGGUCAGGAACUGAGGAGAAGAAAAGACUGAGGAGAAGAACAGGACUUGUGGCAGCAGAUCGACAGUGUAUUUUUCACCAGUCGGUCCUUUGUAAGAACGUGCGCAAGCAAAACCGUCGUUUAACGGAAACAGCCCAAGGCCAUUGUUAUUUUUAAAUGUUUUUUAAAAUUGCGCAAAGCGCUUACAAUUUACUUCCUGAAGUGUUGUUGUGUUGCACUGAAGAUAUAUAUAUAUAUAUAUAUCUGUUGCAUUUUGCUUGCUUCGGUUUGAGGUAAAUUCUUUUGCAAUUGAACUGUUAACGUUCUCAAUGCAGUUGAGCUUGGACUACAGUAUGUUAUGCCAUUUUGGUCUUCAGAAAAACAAAUAAAUGUUGUUUUGUUGGGAACCCGUGAA